GAAUAUUGGGCAAUGGGCGCAAGCCUGACCCAGCCACGCCGCGUGAGUGAUGAAGGCCUUCGGGUUGUAAAGCUCUGUGGGAAGGGACGAAAAAGGUCCGGAAGAAUACGCCGGGCACUUGACGGUACCUUCUUAGCACGCACCGGCUAACUCGGUGCCAGCAGCCGCGGUAAGACAGAGGGUGCGAACGGUGCUCGGAAUUACUGGGCGUAAAGCGCGCGUAGGCGGGCCGGUAAGUCGGUUGUGAAAUCCCCGGGCUCAACUCAGGAACUGCAUCCGAAACUGUCGGUCUAGAGUAGUGGAGAGGGAUGGCGGAAUUCCGGGUGUAGAGGUGAAAUUCGUAGAUAUCCGGAGGAACACCGGUGGCGAAGGCGGCCUCCUGGACACUUACUGACGCUGAGGCGCGAAAGCGUGGGGAGCAAACAGG
rnacentral:rRNA from 1 species